GGCCACUGCUGUCUUGAUAUGAGCUGGUUUCCCUCCAAGGUCAUAGUCUCUCAAUAGCACUCAUUAACCCUGAAUGCUGUAAAAAGAGAUGUAUGCAAAGGAAUGCUGUACUUCCAUGGUGGGAGAGUCCUUAGAAAUCAUGUGGUUCAAUACUCUCCAUGUAUCCUUUUUCUCCAAGUGACUUCCCAAGAUCACAUAUCUGCUUAGGGACAGAACUAUAAUGAACACACAGAGUAACUCUAAGAAAAAUGCAUUUUACAAGGACAUUAUAACUGCGAUAACACUGUCUUUAUAUCCUGAUAUCAAGACCAAAUAAAAUGAAGAUCUGAAGGAAGUGGCCUCAUAAGACUGGAUGCGGCUUUUUAUUGAUGGAAAGAGGAGCAUUCUGCUCACCAGAAACAAAUUCAGUCGUCGGAUGCUCGCUACGCUCAGGAUUUAUCAAAGCAACAGUACGCUGUGGUUUCUUUUUAAAUUUUUAUUGAAGAACAAAACCAAAAAAAGCGGCAAAAUAUUUUUUUUCAGGACUUCCUUGUUUUUAUUUCAGGGAUUUUUAAAAGUCAUUCUUUUAAGUCUCUGACAGAUUUGGAAAACUUUGGAUGAUGGUACAUUCUUCUUUGUGAUGUCCUUUGUGCUGACAGACUGUCUUGGCUCCCUUAAGAAGGAGGCUGAGAGCCUGACAGUACCCUGGAUGACUGGACCGUUCUUCUCAGUAGUUGUCUCGAGGAGUCUGCUCAGACUUAUGUGCAAAUGCAGCCUGAAAAUCAAGAGAAAAUUCUCAGAAGUGUUCUACAGACAUACUUUGAAGAUAUUUCAGAUCUUUCCCCAAAAGCAUAUUUUACAAUGAAACAAAGGAUGAGACCCCAGAGUGCAGAAUGAAUCUACGUGUGUACUGGGAACUGGGAGACGAGUGCAAACCUGAGUGCAAAGAGCGAAAGAAGAUGGAGGCCCCAUGAUUCUGCUUCUGUGGCAACAGCCAAAGCCAUAUUCUGCCACUUCUACCGUAUCUCCUCUAUUCUCUAAAUGGCGGCUGCUCGGCCAAAGGAAAGAAUUCGAUCUGAGGUUGGAGGUUGGAGGAAGAGGAAUGAGUCCACAGAUACACAUUUUAGGUGUGCUGCCUGGAGAUGAUGCAAGUGCUGUCAAGUUUCCCAACCUGGAUUUUAUUUCCUUCAUGAUGAGAAAUAGAAGUACAUAAUUUGGCAGAGAGAAAAGUGAUUAUCCUGUUGGUUAAGAGGAAAAUGUUUUAGUGAUAUGAAAAAUAAAAAAUCACUACAAA